rnacentral:rRNA from 1 species
GAUGAACACUGGCGGCGUGCUUAACACAUGCAAGUCGAGCGAGAAAAGUUCUUCGGAGCUUUUCUAGCGGCGGACGGGUGAGUAACACGCGGGCAACCUGCCUCAUAGAGGGGAAUAGCCUUCCGAAAGGAAGAUUAAUACCGCAUAACAUUGUUGAAAGGCAUCUUUUAACAAUCAAAGGAGCAAUCCGCUAUGAGAUGGGCCCGCGGCGCAUUAGCUAGUUGGUGAGGUAACGGCUCACCAAGGCGACGAUGCGUAGCCGACCUGAGAGGGUGAUCGGCCACAUUGGAACUGAGACACGGUCCAGACUCCUACGGGAGGCAGCAGUGGGGAAUAUUGCACAAUGGGGGAAACCCUGAUGCAGCAACGCCGCGUGAGUGAUGAAGGUCUUCGGAUUGUAAAGCUCUGUCUUUAGGGACGAUAAUGACGGUACCUAAGGAGGAAGCCACGGCUAACUACGUGCCAGCAGCAGCCGCGGUAA